rnacentral:ncRNA from 2 species
CGCUCAUCCAGAGGGGCAGAGGGAACGGCCCGACGAAGCCCCGGCAACCGGCGUGAGCGCAUGUCCUCUUCGCGAGGCGCAUGUGCGCGAUCACGGUGCCAAUUCCGACCCGCUCGCGGGACAGAUGAGGA